rnacentral:rRNA from 1 species
AUGAUCACCAUGGACUUUAUCGAUGGCCUGCCACAGUCAGGGAAAGUCAAUUGCAUCUGGGUGAUCGUCGAUAAGCGCCCAAAAUUUGCCCACUUCCUGCCUUUGGCUCAUCUGUACACAGCCUCCAAGGUGGCACUUCUCUACAUGACAAGCAUCUACAAGAUUCAUGGCUUCCCGCACUCUAUUGUCUCAUAUCGCGACCCGGUGUUCACCAGCCACUUUUGGCGCGAGCUUUUCAAGUACGCGGGCACAGAGCUGCGCAUGAGCUCCGCUAACCACCCUCAGACGGACGGUCAAAUGGAACGGGUGAACCAGUGCCUGGAAACUUAUCUGGGCUGCUUCGUCCAUGCAUGUCCGAGCCACUGGAGUCAUUGGCUUCCACUAGCGCAGUUCUGGUACAACUCCUCGUACCACUCCAGCAUUGGGAUGUUGCCGUUCAAGGCUAUGUUUGGUCAUGAACCACGAACUUGGGGCAUCUCACCCACUGAUGAGUGCCCAGUGCCCGCUCUGUAG